rnacentral:rRNA from 1 species
UACGGAGGGUGCAAGCGUUAUUCGGAUUUACUGGGCGUAAAGCGCAUGUAGGCGGUUCAAUAAGUCUGGUGUGAAAUCCCUGGACUCAAUUCAGGAAGCGCAUUGGAUACUGUUGGACUGGAGUGUAGGAGAGGAUGACGGAAUUCCUGGUGUAGAGGUGAAAUUCGUAGAUAUCAGGAGGAACAACAGAAGCGAAGGCGGUCAUCUGGACUAUAACUGACGCUGAGAUGCGAAAGCGUGGGGAGCAAACAGG